CUUAGCAGAGAUGCUUUGGUGCCUUCGGGAACUCUGAGACAGGUGCUGCAUGGCUGUCGUCAGCUCGUGUUGUGAAAUGUUGGGUUAAGUCCCGCAACGAGCGCAACCCUUAUCCUUUGUUGCCAGCGGUUAGGCCGGGAACUCAAAGGAGACUGCCAGUGAUAAACUGGAGGAAGGUGGGGAUGACGUCAAGUCAUCAUGGCCCUUACGAGUAGGGCUACACACGUGCUACAAUGGCGCAUACAAAGAGAAGCGACCUCGCGAGAGCAAGCGGACCUCAUAAAGUGCGUCGUAGUCAGGAUUGGAGUCUGCAACUCGACUCCAUGAAGUCGGAAUCGCUAGUAAUCGUGGAUCAGAAUGCCACGGUGAAUACGUUCCCGGGCCUUGUACACACCGCCCGUCACACCAUGGGAGUGGGUUGCAAAAGAAGUAGGUAGCUUAACCUUCGGGAGGGCGCUUACCACUUUGUGAUUCAUGACUGGGGUGAAGUCGUAACAAGGUAAGCGUAGUGCU
rnacentral:rRNA from 1 species